rnacentral:rRNA from 1 species
UACGUAGGGUGCAAGCGUUAAUCGGAAUUACUGGGCGUAAAGCGUGCGCAGGCGGUCUUGCAAGACAGAUGUGAAAUCCCCGGGCUCAACCUGGGAACUGCAUUUGUGACUGCAUUGCUGGAGUGCGGCAGAGGGGGAUGGAAUUCCGCGUGUAGCAGUGAAAUGCGUAGAUAUGCGGAGGAACACCGAUGGCGAAGGCAAUCCCCUGGGCCUGCACUGACGCUCAUGCACGAAAGCGUGGGGAGCAAACAGG